GAUGAACGCUAGCUACAGGCUUAACACAUGCAAGUCGAGGGGAAACGAUAUUGGAAGCUUGCUUCCGAUAGGCGUCGACCGGCGCACGGGUGAGUAACGCGUAUCCAACCUGCCCUUGUCCAUCGGAUAACCCGUCGAAAGGCGGCCUAACACGGUAUGCAGUUCUCAGCAGGCAUUUAACGAGAACGAAAUGUAAAGGAGCAGGAUGGGGAUGCGUCUGAUUAGCUUGUUGGCGGGGUAACGGCCCACCAAGGCGACGAUCAAUAGGGGUUCUGAGAGGAAGGUCCCCCACAUUGGAACUGAGACACGGUCCAAACUCCUACGGGAGGCAGCAGUGAGGAAUAUUGGUCAAUGGGCGAGAGCCUGAACCAGCCAAGUAGCGUGCAGGAUGACGGCCCUAUGGGUUGUAAACUGCUUUUAUGCGGGGAUAAAGUGAGCCACGUGUGGCUUAUUGCAGGUACCGCAUGAAUAAGGACCGGCUAAUUCCGUGCCAGCCGCCGCAGUAA
rnacentral:rRNA from 1 species